GUGCCAGCCGCCGCGGUAAUACGGAGGGUCCAAGCGUUAUCCGGAAUCAUUGGGUUUAAAGGGUCCGUAGGCGGUCUUAUAAGUCAGUGGUGAAAUCUCCUAGCUCAACUAGGAAACUGCCAUUGAUACUGUAAGACUUGAAUACUUGUGAAGUAACUAGAAUAUGUAGUGUAGCGGUGAAAUGCUUAGAUAUUACAUGGAAUACCAAUUGCGAAGGCAGGUUACUAACAAGUUAUUGACGCUGAUGGACGAAAGCGUGGGGAGCGAACAGGAUUAGAAACCCUAGUAGUCC
rnacentral:rRNA from 1 species